CAGAUUAACCAGGGAAGUGAAUUUAACAGAGGUUAAAGCUAAAACAACAGAAUCUGGGUAAGUCUGUGUGAAGAGGUGUGGCUUUAGUGUGGAUUUGAAUAGUACACAAGUAGGCCUACGCUAUUUUUGGCCUAACUUUUUUUUAAGUGUUAUGUUUUCCCAGAUUCAUAGUGUUAUGCAGCCCAGGCCUAUCUAGGAAGGCUGGGCAUAAAUUGUUUGCUCACAGCAUCACAUGAUGACGUGGGCAACAUAAACACUUAAACUCUGUGGAUUAAAGUUAAUAGUAAUCAAAACUAAUUUCACCACGAAUGGAAGUGCAAUCGAAAUGAAUGAAGAAGACACGGUAAUUCUAGUGAGUUAAUAAAAUGACAAGGUGUUGCCUGUCAGCGUUGUAGACUACUGCCUCACAAGCCCGGGCUUUAGUGGCACUGGCAUACGCGCUUGCCUCUGCACUGAAGGAGCCACCGAACGCGUCCGCGCUGCAGCUCUCACUUUCUCCCGCUACAGUAUGUCCUACAAUGACAUAUUUGGUGGGGAUUGGCAGCCAACAAUAGGAUUGGAUUGGGACUAAAUCAAAGAAUAAAACGAUAUUGAAAUGAAUAUAAUUAACAAAUAUUGCCCAGAAGAUUUUGGGUUCAACCUAAGGCUGACUAGGACAGAUCAAUAAACUUGAUCCGACACAGUAAGUCUACAUGUCAUACUUAAGUAAACCCACAAGAGAGACAAUAUUGCAAAGGCAGGACCAUGUUCGAUGGAAGGCGUAGGGGUAGGCAAUCGAAAACGUUUGACGGGGAAAUGUCUCUCAAUAUUAGCUAGUCCUACUGAGUGGGCAAGUAACCUUUCCCGCGCUCUUCCUAAAAAUACUAUUUGUGAUGUCAUAAAGGUCUAACGUUCCAUGACGUAGCAUAUAGCCCUAAAUUACAGUCCCUGCCUGCAAUAUUGUCCUCACUCUUGACCUGAACUCAACUUGAAUGUAACCAACACAGACAAGGACAUGCUUUUUGAGAUAUAAAAUAGCUUGAAUGUAUGAAGAAAAGGUAAGCUAAAUGACUUCAUACAAUAUUGGGGGAAAGUAAAAUAGGGUAAAGCAAUCUAAGCGGAUAUUUCUUGUAAAAAGCUAUAACAUAUUGUAAAGCAAAUGUACCAUUCUUUAUAAAGUCACCAGCUUAGCUCUGAUAUGGCUGUAGCUCUAUUUAUGAUGUCCUCUGCACAGAUCUACUCUGACAUUGACAUAUUAUUACUUAUUGGAAUGUCUGUCCUUCAGGUAGCACAGAGGGAGGAUGGUGAUCCUCAGAGGGAAGGAAAGGAAGUUGUUGAGGAAGAACCGGUGGCCACGCCCAAAGAGGAGGCCAAGAAGGGAAGGAAGGCAAAAAGGAAGAGGAGUGGCAAGAAGUCAAGGAAGCUGGGCACUGACAACGAUGCAGUCUCCAGGAAUAAACACCUGGAUAGAGGAUCUGUAAUUGAGCUCCUGGAGAAGAAAGCUGUUAAGGCUGCAUUCGGCCCAGGCAACAAGGAUGAGAUGGAAUACUCCUACCCAAUCCUCAUCUCAUUCCUGCGCAAUCUUACUGAUGAGCAGUGGCAAGUGAUCUACAAAGGACUAAAAAACCCUAUGACGAAGGAACAGCUUGCCAAAUUGUGCAAGACAAUUGUAACCUUCAUCGCACAGACCACCCUGCAGAUCCUGCUGCCAGCCCUGGCCCGCGUACUUGGGGUAAAGGACUUUGCUGACGACGACACUGACUCACCCAAGAGGGGUGGUAGUGCAAGAUCCUUUGCUGCCUUUGAUCAGGAAAGACUGGAGCUCAUCCAGGAAGUUAGAUAUCUGGCGAAGAAAAUGUAUAAGGGCGGCACAGGGGCUCAACAUCUCAGGUCCCUAACACCCUCUUCUAAGAGUUCCCAGACCUCAGUGAAAGUCCACCUGGGAAUGACAGAGGACAGAAUCAUCAAAAGUGUCCAGGAGCAACUGUCUGAUCAUAAUAUCCUGUCCUCUUGCCCACCUGAGCUGACUGUUGGUCUUAUCAAGGUGGUGGUCGAACAGCUUAACUCUGCCCUCUCUGCGACCAUCAGCAGAGCCAUUUCAGGGCGGUCCUCCCCUAUUUCUUCUGGUACCCAGGCCGCUGAACAAAUGGUCAACAUGGUCCAGAAAUGUUUUGAUGAUCACACCACCCCAGAGGACCAGAGCUCUACCUCUGUAUUAGAGUCAUGCAUUCCACCUGCAACAGAAGAAGUGAUGACUGUUAUCGCAGAGAUGGUGGGUGAAUUGGAAAAAGAAGAUCCGGAAUUGGCUAAGGUUUUUCGAGAAGUGGCUGUGAAAGUUAAAAUGUUGGCAUCUGGCAGUGACCUUGUAGUGGAGCACCUGGAUGUUGAAGACUCUCCUGUUCCAGAGGAGCUGAACAUAAUAUGUACAUCUUGCAAAGCAAUGAUGCAAAAUCUUGGCACUCUGUUUAGUGUGAAGUUCAAGACCAAAGCCUCAAAGGCUGUGAGUGAAAUUCUUGUGAGAAGGUUAAUGAGCGAUAUCUCUGGUAUGGUUCAACCUUCUCAUUCGUUUAGUACCACUCCAAGCUUGAUGAAUGCAUCUAGCCCUUCUGACAGGAUCCUUGAUUCUGCGGCCACUGAGCUCAUACAGAUCAAAGUAGAAUCUGAGACAUCAAAAAUAAUUGAUAACUUUGUUGAAGAUGUCAAGGACAUUGUGCAGUAUGCUGAAUUAGAUCAGCCAACAAGCACCCAGAGAGAUACCCAAGUGGGACACUGUACGACAAAGCGGAAACCCUUCCGUGCAGCUCGUAGACUCUGCGAGAGACUUCAGGCAAAGCUGGAGACAUUGUUCCUCAGAAUGGGUGGAGCUCCAGUCCAAGGGGAAGAACUUAUGGAAAAAGCUGACUCCAGUGCUGUGCUUCUGGAGCAUACUGACUCCAGUGAUCUGCCUGUUUCAAUCCUGAGCUUGCCUUCCCCAUGUAGGAGUGAAUCCCCUAUAUCAGAACGUAGUUCAUCUUCUUUAUCUGAUGGAUGUGAUUCAACUGGCUCUGUAGGAGAGAAAACACCAGAGCAACCUGAAACCAGUAAGAGUGAGGCAAUACUGCAAGUGGUCAACUCAACAGGACUUGGUUCUCUCCGUAAAUGCCAAAGUGAGAACUCUCAACCAUUACUGUCUCUCUGUGAUUCCAACAUGGUGCCCUGCACCAAAGAGGUCUUGUCCCAGAUUGUGACCAUGUAUAGGUCAGAGGUGGCAGAUUUGGAAUGCACAUCAUCUGUUGCAGAGGGUUCCUCUUCCAACUCCCUUGAAGUCUGUGGCUUUUUGGACAGUGUCAUGUCUUAUCUAGAAGACAUGCCUGUGUCUGGUUCUUCAUGGGUGGAAGGAUUGAGAGAUACUCCAGCCUCAGUCAUUGAGAAACUCUCCAGUGAGGAGUUCCAGAUGAACGCUACCAACGAAGUGCGAAAAAUACUGAUCAAAUCAGUCAGUAGCUCUCCCAGCAAAGUCAGUUCCAGCCAGACAGAUUCUCAGAUGUUGCCAGCAAAAUCAACAAUUUCCUUAAGGCAUACAGAUAUAACUGCUUUUGAAAUCGUUGGAUCAAUUACAAAUGACAUGAAGAGCCUUUUCCCACCCACAGAGUCUUCUACUACUCUAUGGCAGGCAGACUCUAUGCUUCAACAGAGUGAUGAGAAAACCUCAGAGUACACUGAGGCCACACCCAAAGGCUCACAGUCUGGUUUGGAAGUAUCUGAGAAGAAGAUCUGGACAACUGCAAAGACUAUUUACCACAAUGUGAAGACAAAGAUGAGGAAUUAUUUUACAUGGCAAAAUCAAGUCAAAGCAACAACGGCUCAAGCCAAAAAGACCCUCAGCCAUAUUCUGGUUUCAAUUCAGAAAGAGCUGUCAAAAUCUGACCAAACGGUGACUGCGCUUUCACAAAUAGAGAAUGUGGUUGGAAUGAUGCUGAAGGAUGUUGAAAGGGUAAGCAGUGAAUGUGGUGAGGAACUGAUCUAUCAAGCGCCACAGCGUUCUUCCUCCUCGUUGUCAUCCUCAUCUGCCAGAUCAAAGAAGUCAGAGUGGGAAUUUUCACUCCCUGGCACUCCCAUCUCUUCUGAUUUACCAGAGUGUAUUACUCAGCCCAUUGUGAGAUGCUCAGUCAUCGACAUGGGCAAAUCUACUAAGCCAAAAACAUUGGUGUGUGAUGCCAGGGAAAGCAUGUCUGCAAUAGUGGAUACCAUCAUAAAGGAGGUACAUCCAGAGGAAGAAGGGGAGGUUGCAUUCCACCCUGAUCUAACAGCUGCAAUAGCAAGACUGGAGGAGCUCAUAUCUCAGGGUAGGAUUGGUGCUCUCUCACGUGAUCUUACUCACCAAGUCAACCGCAUCAUUUCUGAGAGCAACUUGACCCCUCUGGUUCUGACAGUGGCGGCUGGAAAGAGUGCAUCCGAUACAGUCCUUACUGAGCUGAAGAGGAAUGACAAGACGGUGGGGAAGCCCACAGCUUACAAGCUGGUUCAGCUUUUUGCAGAGGAGUCUGUGAAGCGCCUCUUGCUUCCUAGCCUUGUGCCCUCUACAGCUUCAAUGAGUUUGGCUCAGGGAGUUAGUGUGCCGGCUAGCGUAUCUGAAGAUAGGAUUUCAUGUUCUUUUUCUACAUCAGCAUUUAGUGACACAGUCAGCCUGUUUACCAAAGUAAUGGUAAGCCAGGUCAUGGACUCUGUGGUUUCUGAUGCACAAAGCAGAGGGUCAUCUCCAACCGGAACUGUAACUGAUAUAGGCAGUCUACUGAGUGGUAAGUCCUACCCUCUGCCAUCUUUCUCCGCCAUCAGCAUGACAACAAGUGGGACCUCCAAUGCUGCACGAGGCUUUGAGGCCAACAUAGAUGCUGAGGAAAGGGAUACCAUCAGUUGUUUCGGUGUACCUCAGAGCAUUGUUUGUGAUCAGAAUUCAACCAGCCCGGAUGUUGCCUCGCUUUCAACCCCAUCCACUGACAACUUAGUCGGUGAUGAUGACUUCACCGGCCUCAUCAGCAUGUUAGUGGUGAGACUUCUGUCAAAAAUCCAAACCCAAACUGAUCUGUACCCAACUGACGUCACACGCACGUCACAAGACCUGAUUCCAAAAGUUAUAGCUGCCUUCUGUGCAUGGUCAGGCUGCUCUGAGACCCAAGCUUAUCCCAAGAACCUGAAGAGUCACAAAGUAUACAGCACCGUCUACAAACAUCUGUUGAAGGAGUUUGGCUCAGAGAAAAUACUCCAACUGGCCGUGUCGACUCAGGACUCCACAUUCAAUAGGAUUCUUGUGAAGUCAUUGAGCAAGGAGCUUCUCCACAGUUGUAACGAGGCAUCAAGAGCAGCCUCAAGAACAUCUUUCGAAGCCACCAGGCCAGAAGCUCUUCUCAUGGCUGAAGAUGUGAAGGCUACCAGAGGGAAGCUGUCUUUCCUACAAAGGCUUGCCAGACUGAAAUUCGACUUAAAGCCAUUCAUGAUGGGAAACAAGAAGGAUUCCAAGAAGAAUUCCCGCCAUUCUGAAUCCAAAGACCAGACUACUGCUGAAGAUAUCAUAUUGGCACAUCCUGGACUCCCAGAGGGUCUUCCCUCCACCUCUCAACAGGAGAAGCCUCGCAAACGUCCCCUUCUAAUCAGGAUGUUUUCCACCAUCUCCAUAGGCCUAUCCAAGCCAUUCAAACGGUUUUCAAAGCAAGCUUAAUACAACAAUUUCCUUUAAUACAGUAAUAUUUGCAUUGAAUUGAUGGCCUUUGUCUUCUUUUGUGUUGCCCUGUUAACACAUUUGAUUAGAAAAUACAUAGUAUAUUUAGUUUAGUUUAUUAUGCAGUCAUAGUCACGGUGUAGGCUAAACAAAGUAAUGUUGUCCUGAAUAAUGUAUAUAACAUGCACCCCCCACCCACCCACCCACACAAAGUGUGAUUCAUUGAACACACACACAUAGUACUUCAGAUAUGUCCCACAACCAACAUUCAACCAGAUAUCAAUGAUUCAGUGUAAAAUACAUGUACUGUAAAAUAAACCGUAUUUAAUUUACAACCAAUAAAAUUAUACAUGAUGCAGGACACUCAGUUAUAAGGGAAUUAAUUGGUUUAACUUCUCAAACAGAAAGACACACUGUAACUGACAGUUAGACUUACAGGUUAUGUCGUUGUCUUUUGUUUGAAUUGUUUACGUAUCCGCUGUGCGGGGGAAAUGAUAAUACAAUCGGAACUACGUAGCCAAUACUGUUGUAACGGGGAUCCUUAUUGUAGCAACACACUUUUGGAGGGAAGGAAAUCCUGCGCUGCGUUAGCUAAGUUUUCAUGUCAUCGGGUGUAGUUCAUAAAGGUUGAAGAGUGUAUGUUAGGAUGAAGUGUGAAUUCAUGCCAGGAAUAAUAAGUGUGAAGUUUGAUUUCCUCCCUUCUGUAAUAAGCAGCCAAUGAGGUAUUUUUUCCUUUAUUCAUGUGUUUAAUCUGAACCCGUAAUAACGCCGGUUAAACUGUUAUGUAUGUAAGCACUUCAGAGUUAUACCAAGCUAAUAAGUCACUCGUAAGAUAAGGUUGUAAGAGUGUGCUUAACUGUAUUUUUAAUUGACUUUAUAAUUCUCACGGAAGGUGAUAAUUCUGACUAAAACUACAGAAUAAAGCCGCCAGUUAAAAUCAAGGAACGGUUGUGCUCGUGGUUACUGAAGGGAGCUACAGUGAGAACUCAAUGCUCUUCACGAGCAAGAGAGAAAGAAGAAUCUCAUCCAGCUGUAAAACGUCUACAUGAUUCCCAAAUCCUGGUAGACCCAGUCAUCUGCCAGAUAAGAGUUUUGCACCUACCUGCAAACUAAGAAGAAAAUCUCCACAUAAGGAAGCAUCGUGAGGCAACAUAAGGUCAAGACUAACAGGAAAGUCAGACACGCAAGUACAAGUCAAGGUGUUUGGAGGUGGUCCUAGCCUUGUGAACAGCUAAUAAGAGACUUUAAGAUUACAAUUCGUAAGGACUGGAGAUAGUUGUCUAUUUCAUAAAGACUCUGGUAUUAUGCAUUUGCUCUUUCUAUCUUAAUGUAUCGCUGGUAUGUGUAUUACUGGAAAAAUAUGAUUUGAUACUUACUAAAAAUAUAUAUAUAGUUACAAACAUUAAGGGUCAGCGUACACCUAUUAAUUCUAUUUUCACCUGUAAGUUAAUAGUGUAAUUGUUUGGGAAGGUGUUUGUUCAAGCCUUUGUUACAAGCAUUAUACAUGUUUAUACCACGUACUAAGGUUUAAAUUACAGUGAAUUGGAGUAUAAAUUAUCUACUCACUUAUCCAAACCUUACCUAGAUUUGAUUUGAUUUGAUUUAAAAUGUCAGAAAGAGGUAGUUUCACUAAAGUUGAUAGAGAUGGGGUGGGUCAAGUUGAGCAGCAGCUGCAACACCUCGCAAACUUCAGGCCUUCAUCAGAACAAACAGAGCAGCAGGAAGAGACCCAGACUGGUGUGGAGUCAUGGCUGCCAGCGAAUGAUGAUACAGAGGCUGCUAAUGAGACAUCACAACAUGAGCCACGAAAAGGUGAGAGGGUCCGCAGGUUAACUGAAAAGGGCAGAGAACUGCGCAACGAAAGGUGGAGACAGCUCAAACAUCAUUUCAGGGUCAGCUAUGAGAAGUGGAAGGCUCUGGUAAAGGAAGCAAAACUGUCACUGACAGCCUGUUGCUCUGAAGAUCUACUAGAAGACCUCUUAAACAAGAUUAGCCAUACCUCUACAGAGCUAAACCUUGUCUAUGUAAAUGUGCGUCAAAUCUACAUACCCGACAACAAUAUACGCCGCAGAGUUGAUACUUGUGAAGCAGUUACAAUGUCUAUUAUCAAGACUGUAAGGUGUCAUUUAAAAGGCAGGGAAGAAGGUCAAAGUAACCAGAUAAAGCUGCACUGGAAGGACAGCAAUUCCUUGUGCAUGUCCGAACUCUCACAUAAGUCAAGUCUCAACUAUCAGCCCUCAAGUGCUUCCUCCCAGUCUCAAAGCAAUUCAAAGGUCAACUCCAGAUGCUCAAGCGUGUCAUCUGUCAAGAGACAAGAGGCUGCGGCGGAAGUUGCUGCUAACCAAGCAGCUUUAGAAGUAAUGGUUAAGCAAGAACGCCAACUAGAAGAGCUUCAGAGACUUGAAGAUGAAGAUAAGAAGAGGACAGCUGAGCAAGAAGCCGAGGCUGUGAAACGCAGCUUAGAAGAAGCUAGGCUGCGAGUCAAGUUAGAGGUAGAAAAUGCUGCCAGACGAAGGACGCUAGAAGACAAGCAUAGAGAGUUAGAGCGCCUAGAAGUGCUCAAGAAACUAAAUGCUGCCAAGGCGCGGAUGCAAGUGUAUGAGCAAGAUGAAAACUCAGAGGACGAGAAGAGAGAACUACUCUCUAACUGCAAAUCUGUGAAAGAAAUCGUGCACAGAAGUGGCUCAUUUCACAGUCUCUCACCACAACAUGUUGUGACAAACACACAACAAGAAGAUGGCACCAAGACCAUGUUCAGGUUACUAGCGGAAUCAAUCAGUGAAAGCCGCCUCCCCAUACCAGAACCAGUAACAUUCAAUGGAGAGCCUCUCUCAUACACUGACUGGAAGGUCUCUUUUCAGACUCUGAUAGACAGGAAGAACAUACCAGCAACUGAGAAGAUAUAUUACUUAAGAAAAUAUGUCGGUGGGCCUGCCAAGAAAGCCAUCGAAAGUUACUUUAUGUUAGGAACAGAAUCAGCCUACCAUGCUGCUUGGACCAUUCUUGAAGAAAGGUACGGAAACAAAUUCUUCAUCGCCAAGUCUUUCAGAGAUAAGCUCAAUGCAUGGCCUACGAUAGGAUCCAAGGACAGUCUUGAACUUAGAGACCUUGUAGACUUUCUUCGCAGCUGUGAAGCUGCUAUGUCUCAGAAUAAGGGCCUGGAGGUGCUUAAUGACUGUAAUGAAAACCAAAAGAUCCUCACUAAACUUCCAGAUUGGCUAACUUCAAGAUGGAAUAGAAAGGUCACAGACAUCUUAGAAGAAACUGAGAUCUUUCCUAGCUUCAGUCAGUUUGUGAAGUUUCUCACGAGAGAAGCCAAGAUUGCUUGCAAUCCUGUAACAUCCCUUCAUGCUUUGAAACCAAGUGAAGAUGGAAAACUUAAGACGCCAAGGAUUCAAAGCCCCGGAGCAAGGGUAUUAGCAACUAACUCUGAUGAGAAAGAUACUGUUACUAGUUGUGUCUUCUGUGAGAAGUCAGGUCACAGUCUCCACAAAUGCUGGAAGUUCAUGGAUAAGCCCACCGCAGAGCGACAGAACUCUGUUCAAGAGAAUAAAUUGUGCUUUGGCUGUUUAAGGCCUGGGCAUCGCUCGAAAGAUUGUGAUAACAGGAACACCUGCGACACGUGUCAGAGGAGGCAUCCAUCCUGCCUGCACGAAGAUCGUACUGAAGAAAGGUUCAGGGAUAGGAAGACAGAGCCCCCACGAGAUAAGGGGACAAGAGCGUCAAGUGAGGCCAUAUCUAACAGAGUCGUAAGGGACAUUAACAACACUCACACCUCCACAAUCAUUCCAGUAUGGGUGUCAACCACAAGUGAGCCAGAUCGUGAAGUUCUUGUGUAUGCACUUCUUGACACCCAGAGCGACACCACCUUUAUCCUUGAAGAGACAACAAAGGCUCUCAAUACAAGGAAGGAGCCAGUCCAACUGAAACUCUCUACAAUGGCUUCAAGGAAUACCAUUGUGCCCUGCCAGAAGCUGUCUGGUUUGCAGGUUAGAGGGUUUUACUUGGAGAAGAAAAUCCCUCUGCCAACGACCUACUCGAGAGAGUUUAUUCCUGCAAACAGAGAUCAUAUUCCUACUCCAGAGACUGCAAGAGCAUGGUCUCAUCUUGAACACAUUGCAGAGGAGAUUGCUCCUCAACAGAGCUGUGAUGUCGGUCUCUUAAUUGGCUACAACUGCUCCCAGGCGACGCUAUUGGAGUGAGUCAUCGGGUUAUCGUUAGACAGGUGAUGCCAAGCCUUCAAUCUUCUUUCAACCUCACAAAUCAAGUACACUAUGUUUGUAGAACACGUGUAAGAGAGGUAAUCACAGCACUGGACAUUAUCAAGACGCUUGAAUCUGACUUCAACAAGAGAGCUGCAGAAGAGGACCUCAUAUCUCAAGAGGAUAUCCGGUUCCUGACGAAAAUGAAAGUGGGCAUCAGACGCAAGGACAAUGGACAUUAUGAGAUGCCGCUGCCGUUUAAGGAAGAAAGACCCAACCUGCCGAACAAUAAAACAUGUGCAGUUCACCGUCUCAAGUGCCUGGAAAGGAGGCUAAGGAGAGACAAGCAGUACUACAAGGACUACACAGCAUUCAUGGAAGAGACCAUAGCUUGUGGAGAUGCUGAGAAGGUCUCCAAAGAGGAAGUUAACCAGCAUCCAGCAUGGUACAUCCCGCACCAUGGGGUUUAUCACCCACAAAAGCCUGGGAAGAUACGCGUCGUCUGCGACUGCUCAGCUAAGUUUCGAGAGACGUCCUUGAAUGACCAUCUCCUUACUGGUCCAGAGUUGACAAACACAUUGCUGGGUGUCCUUUGUCGUUUUUGUAAGGGUCCAGUUGCAAUCAUGUGUGACGUAGAGCGCAUGUUCCACCAGUUUCAUGGGAAAGCAGAAGACCAAGAUUAUCUACGGUUCCUUUGGUGGGAGAACGGAGAUCUAGAGUCUCAACCCUCAGUGUAUCGUAUGAAGGCCCACUUGUUCGGCGCAGCUUCAUCUCCUGGUUGCGCCAACUAUGGUCUCAAACAUCUUGCUGCCGAAGGACGAGGAAGCUUCAGCGAGAAGUCUAUCCAGUUCAUAGAAAGGAACUUUUAUGUUGAUGAUGGGUUGACGAGCGUAUCGUCUGAAGCUGAGGCGGCCCAGCUGGUGAAAGAAGCAAGAGAGCUUUGCAGCAUCGGCAAACUUCGGUUGCACAAGUUUAUCUCUAACAGCAAGGAAGUUAUAGCCACAGUUCCCAAGGAAGAAUGUGCCGAGGGUGCCAAAGACCUGGAUAUGGCUCUGGGUGAACCACACAUGGAGAGAGCGCUUGGUGUACUGUGGUGUGUCGCAUCAGACGAGUUCCAGUUUAGAGUAGUUGUCAAGGAACGCUCACUCACAAGAAGAGGAGUGUUGUCUACUGUAGCCUCUGUAUAUGAUCCGCUUGGGUUUGUGGCAACCUUUGUCCUGGCAGGGAAGCAGAUCUUGCAGCGGAUGUGUCGUGACAAAAUCGACUGGGAUGACCCCCUUCCAGAUGACCUACAUUCCCAGUGGGAAUUCUGGCUCCAAGGUCUACAAAACUUGUCUGAAGUAAUGAUCCAACGAGGUUAUUUGCCAUCAAGUUUCAAGGAGGUGCAGAGUUAUGAGCUCCAUCACUUCUCCGACGCUAGUACCUCAUGUUAUGGAGAGUGCUCAUACCUCAGAACAAUCAACACUGACAGAAAUGGAAUAAAGACAGAAGAAACGCAAGGAUUAAUGACAUUGUCAUUUUGCAAGAUGAUACUGCACCACGCAACCAGUGGAAAUUGGCAAAGGUUACAGAAGUAUACCCGGGACAGGAUGGUCGGGUGAGAAGAUUCAAGUUACUGAUCAGCGACUCAACCCUAGAUGAGAGAGGUAAACGCAUCACCAAACCCACCUAUCUGGAGAGGCCCAUCCAUAAGACAGUCACCCUCCUGGAAGCCGAUUAAGAAACCUGCAGACCCCUUUCACAGAAAUCACCGGUGAUUGGUGGGAGUGUAACUGACAGUUAGACUUACAGGUUAUGUCGUUGUCUUUUGUUUGAAUUGUUUACGUAUCCGCUGUGUGGGGGAAAUUAUAAUACAAUCGGAACUACGUAGCUAAUACUGAUUUCCUCCCUUCUGUAAUAAGCAGCCAAUGAGCUUUUACCUUCGACAUCAACAAGCGGCGCACGGGCUGGUCCUGCAGACUCCCACGCCCAUGGCCCAGGAGAAGGCAGGGGGCCACCUGCUCACUCACGUCCCAGCCAUCUCCUUUGAGACCGACUCUACUGUGGAGUGCACCUCCAAGAGGACUCCGGAAGAGAGGGACCGGGUGAAGGUUAAACUGGCCAACAUGGCCUUGAUGGGAAGGAUCAAAAAGUCUUGGCUGUGAAAUGCCCAUUAUGUGUGAUUAUCGAAUUGAUCAUUUUCCACUUUUGAAACAACAAUGGGAAAGACAGGGUUUAUAGCAAAGGUUGCUCAGAUUGGGCUUUUGGAAAAAUUGAGAGAAUGAAAGUGCACUCCUGAUUCAGAGAGAAAGAUCCAGCUUAAUCAUCCAUACCAUUGUUUAAAUUACAAU